CUCCUUCCUGCCUGAGGCUGUUACCAUUCCUGGCUGAGCUUAUGGAAGAUGAGAGCACAGAAGUGGAAAGCCUGUGCCAAGACGUCAUCCUUGAAGUGGAGCAGAUCCUCGGUGAACCAUUAAUGAAAUAUUUUUAGUAUGCAAUAAAAAGAUACCGGUGAACAUGA
rnacentral:lncRNA from 1 species